rnacentral:lncRNA from 1 species
GAGCGACGUCCCCGAUCUCGUUCUCUUUGGAAGCCCAGGCGAGCGCUGAGCUUGUGGCCGGCUCUGGGUUCUUCUUUGAAGCGUAUCUGGAGGAGGGCCCCUGAUUCCAGAUGUCUGUGUCCGCAAGACUCUGUGAACAGCUUCUCAGCUUGCCAGCACCCUCGGCAGCCCCAGGACUGGCCGGCCCAGCCACUGCCAUGAGGGUGAAAAGGCACGUGGUCCAGGCUGCGGAGGGCGCCCCCUUGACUGAUGGCAGGUAUCCCUAUAUCCAGCCCCUCCACCCAACCAGGCUUCUGUGGCCCGAAGAAAGUCGGUUACCAAAGGACAUCCUGGGGCCUGGAACUCUGGGAUGUCCCCCAUGACUUCAUUACACGAACAUUCACUAAAGGCUGAAAACCUUCCACUUAAUGACAUCAAAGAGAUCCAGAACCAUAGAUAAAGCCAUUUCACACAUUGGUCAACCCCCACGUUUCAUCGUUUCAUCGUUUCAUCGUUGUGCCUUGGAAAGAAAUACCGGCUUCUUUGUCAUGGGAUGUUAACUCUUUUAUUAACUUAGGGUUAACAUUGUAUUUGCUUUGUGGAUUUCUCUUUUGAAGUUGUGGAUUCAAUAAACAACAGCUGGCUUCCCCCA